AGAAAAGGAUUCGGACCACAAGUC
rnacentral:siRNA from 1 species